rnacentral:rRNA from 1 species
UACGUAGGGGGGCAAGCGUUGUCCGGAUUUAUUGGGCGUAAAGCGCGUGUAGGUGGCCAAGUAGGUCCGCUGUGAAAACUUGAGGCUCAACCUCCAGACGUCGACGGAAACCGUGUGGCUAGAGUCCGGAAGAGGAGAGUGGAAUUCCUGGUGUAGCGGUGAAAUGCGCAGAUAUCAGGAAGAACACCAAUGGCGAAGGCAGCUCUCUGGGACGGUACUGACGCUGAGACGCGAAAGCGUGGGGAGCGAACAGG